UACGAAGGGGGCUAGCGUUGCUCGGAAUCACUGGGCGUAAAGCGCACGUAGGCGGAUUGUUAAGUCAGGGGUGAAAUCCUGGAGCUCAACUCCAGAACUGCCUUUGAUACUGGCAAUCUCGAGUUCGGGAGAGGUGAGUGGAACUGCGAGUGUAGAGGUGAAAUUCGUAGAUAUUCGCAAGAACACCAGUGGCGAAGGCGGCUCACUGGCCCGAUACUGACGCUGAGGUGCGAAAGCGUGGGGAGCAAACCGG
rnacentral:rRNA from 1 species